rnacentral:rRNA from 1 species
UCUAUGACGGGUAUCCGGCCUGAGAGGGUGAACGGACACACUGGAACUGAGACACGGUCCAGACUCCUACGGGAGGCAGCAGUAGGGAAUAUUGCUCAAUGGGGGAAACCCUGAAGCAGCAACGCCGCGUGGAGGAUGAAGGUUUUAGGAUUGUAAACUCCUUUUGUUAGAGAAGAUAAUGACGGUAUCUAACGAAUAAGCACCGGCUAACUCCGUGCCAGCAGCCGCGGUAAUACGGAGGGUGCAAGCGUUACUCGGAAUCACUGGGCGUAAAGAGCGCGUAGGCGGGAUAGUCAGUCAGGUGUGAAAUCCUAUGGCUUAACCAUAGAACUGCAUUUGAAACUACUAUUCUAGAGUGUGGGAGAGGUAGGUGGAAUA